ACAAUUUUUUAUCUGCAUUUAAAGGCCCUUUAUAAAUGAGAAUGGUAGUGUAGCCUUUCAACCAUGUACAAAUACCAAUUUGACGAUUCUACACUCUCAGCCUUCCAAUGCUACGGCGGAUUGUGAAAAAACAUCAUUGUGUUGGUGGAGUGAUGAUAAGUUUGUAAAUCUGGGAUCGAUCGAGGAAACUCAUUGGCGUUGGACGCAGAAAAAUCCGGAAUUGAUUUUAUCCCACGGAUCUCAUGAAUCCGAGAUUGAGUUGAUCUGUUCAAAUUCAGGGAGCAAAACAGUUUUGACGCUUCUAAACACAACGUCCACUGCGCUCAGACUCCAAUUGUCCUCUGACAAAGUCUGUAUCACUCAUAUGAGGUCUGAAGGGCUCUCCAAAGGUUCAGUCCUCGUUAUUCUAUUUUUCGUCUU